CUAAAACACUCUCUCUCAUGAAUCUCAGGCCCACCCCUCGGUCGAUCUCCUCUCCCCGCGAUCUCCACGCCGCCGCACCACCCACACCGGCCGGUUCCGGUGAGCUCCAGCCGCGCGCAAAACGCUUGAUGCCGCCCAGUGCUCCAUGGCGGCUCCUACGGCGUGCUCACCUACCCGGCCCUUCACGCCGCUGUGAUCUUCGGCCCUUCACGCCGCUGUGAUCUUCGGCCCUAUCGCGCUCCUGGACGAGUCCACGGUGGCGGGCCCCAGCCGUCCGCCCCUCUGGGUGACGUCCAUGGCCACAUUCACUCGCACGUGAGCACCCCCUCCCCUCACUCUGCUCCUCAGAUCCGCUCUCCUCCUGUCCCCUGUCGUACCGUGGCUCUGAGAUUGAAUGGUCCCUCUCGGGAAGCCCCACCUCAAUGUCAACACCAUCGGGCAAGACCACUCUCAUCGUCGCCAUCACCAACGUCAGAUCAGGCCUGCUCCGGUACACUUGCAGUGUGUUAUCGAAGGCUGGGAGCGCCAAGGUGGUGGAGUUCGACGAGAUCGACAAGGCCCCGGAGGAGAAGGUCGUCAAGGAGGUCCGUCGGGCGGCGCUCGAGCUGCAGCGCGCGGGCAGGGCCCCGUGGGUUCUGAUGCUGGGGAAGAAUAGUUCCAAGGAUGCAAACAUUUUCUCUGAUUAGCAUUGGAUCUAGUCUGUUUUCUUGUUUGCGCCGCCAAACUGAAUCAUUUUACAUUGUCUGUUUCAAGGUCGAUUUCUUGUUUGCGCCCCCUAGAUCGGAUCCUUUUACUUAGUUUCAGGCCAUCAUUGAAUCUGUACAUAUUGUUUGUGUGGUGGAAUUUAGUGCAACUGACAUUAUAAUCACUCCAAGGAUGCAAACAUAUUUUCUGAUUAGCGAUGGAUCUAGUCUGUUUUCUUGUUUGCACCCCCAAACUGAAUCAUUUUACAUAGAUUCAGACCAUCAACAUUUUUGUGAAAUCAACAACAAUCUAUAUAUUUUUAUUUCUCUAAUGAAAUUUACUGCAACUAACAUUAGAUGAUUGCAAUUGUUAUCUGGAUGCAAAAUUCACCCUGAUAAUUUCCAGCUUCUUUUUACUGCAAUAGUUCUGUUUUCUAAUUUGGUUUAUGUCAUUGACGAUCAGCUAUGAGAUUGUCUGCGAGUUGUUCAACUGCUUCGAGAGCUCCACCGGGCUCCUCCGCAUGAAGAGAUCCAAGGCAACAUUCCCCAUUAUCUGCUCUAGCAUUCAAAACUUGGCUGAGAGGAGGUUUACCUAUGGCCAUAUUGCACAGCUCAAGUACAUUAUGCCCGAGACUAUUGUCAUCAACAAGAUCCUUUUGCGUGACGACAAGACCUGCUGCAUGAAGCCGGAUCUUCAAGUGAACCUAUUGGUUGAUUCAGUUGAAGACAGUGCGAUGCAGAAGGGCGAAAACUGUUACUUUGCUAUGAGAAGGAUGUUCAGGCAAAGGCUCGUGGACUUCCUUCAUGAAACAUCCUGAGUUAUAUAUGAUCAUCAUGUAUCUUUCACACUUUCAGCAUACAGUAGUUAAUUGUGCAAGUUUAUUGUCAUAUGAGAACAGUUCGGUAAAUGUAUGGUUACUAGUGCUAGUGAAGGAAAUGUACUAGUUGGUGUAUGCUUAGUUGAUAUGAAGUAUUCAUGUUCUCUCUGUAA